UACGGAGGGAGCUAGCGUUAUUCGGAAUUACUGGGCGUAAAGCGCACGUAGGCGGCUUUGUAAGUAAGAGGUGAAAGCCCAGAGCUCAACUCUGGAAUUGCCUUUUAGACUGCAUCGCUUGAAUCAUGGAGAGGUCAGUGGAAUUCCGAGUGUAGAGGUGAAAUUCGUAGAUAUUCGGAAGAACACCAGUGGCGAAGGCGGCUGACUGGACAUGUAUUGACGCUGAGGUGCGAAAGCGUGGGGAGCAAACAGA
rnacentral:rRNA from 1 species